rnacentral:rRNA from 1 species
CCUACGGGUGGCAGCAGUGGGGAAUUUUGGACAAUGGGCGCAAGCCUGAUCCAGCUAUUCCGCGUGUGGGAAGACGGCCUUCGGGUUGUAAACCACUUUUGUAGAGAACGAAAAGGCUGUUGAUAAUACCGAUAGAUGAUGACGGGACUCUAAGAAUAAGCACAGGCUAACUACGUGCCAGCAGCCGCGGUAAUAAGUAGGGUGCGAGCGUUAAUCGGAAUUACUGGGCGUAAAGGGUGUGCAGGCGGUUUUGCAAGAUGGAUGUGAAAGCCCCGGGGCAAACCUGGGAAAGCCAUACAUGACUGCAAGACUAGAGUGCGUCAGAGGGGGGUGGAAUUCCAAGUGUAGCAGUGAAAUGCGUAGAUAUUUGGAAGAACACCGAUGGCGAAGGCAGCCCCCUGUGACGCAACUGACGCUCAUACACGAAAGCGUGGGGAGCAAACAGGAUUAGAUACCCGAGUAGUC